rnacentral:rRNA from 1 species
CCUGAACGCUGGCGGCGUGGCUAAGACACGCAAGUCGCACGGGGUAGCAAUACCCAGUGGCGAACGGGAGAGUAAUGAAUCGCUAAUGUACCCCGGACUCUGGGAUAGCUAUCCGAAAGGGUAGGUAAUACCAGAUGAUAUAACUUACAGGCAUCUGUGAGUUCUCAAAGGUCCGCCGGUCUGGGAGCAGGCGAUUUCGUAUCAGCUAGUUGGUGAGGUAACGGCUCACCAAAGGCGACGACGCGUAGCCGGACUGAGAGGUUGGCCGGCCUCAUUGGGACUGAGACACUGCCCAGACUCCGUACGGGGGNGU